CAAUUAAGCUUGUACUUUAAUUGUGGUAAAAUUAAACUUUAUUUUUUAUAUUUUUCUUUUUUUGGUAGAAUGAGAAAGGUUUUAUAUUUUUUUGUUUAAUUUGUAAGAUUUAAUAAGCGAACCAGAUUAGUACCUGGUUAGAUAAAAUUUAAAAGUGCAGGAGUAAAGUUAUAUUUAAACUGUAAAGAUAUUGGCAGGUCUCUUAAAUUAUCUUUGGAGGUUGGGUAAUAAUUGAGAACCCUCAUUUUCAGCUUUUUUUUUUGGCGCAUGUAUGAUCGUUUAUUUUAUUCUUAAAGAUUGUAAUUAGAAAUAAUUCUUUAAAAAAAUAGAUAAAUACCUGGUUUAUAAAAAAGUUUUAAUCUGACCUACAAUAUUUUAUAUUUUGGAUUUAUUUUUUUGAGAAUUUAAUGAAAUUGUAAAAGACAGUAAAUUAAUUUUAAUAUUUAAUUGAAGUUUAUCUAGAGACGGUACAAAUCAUCCAUCAAUUGCCCAAA
rnacentral:rRNA from 1 species